GUAGAUCAGCAUGCUACGGUGAAUACGUUCCCGGGUCUUGUACACACCGCCCGUCACACCACGAGAGUUUGUAACACCCGAAGCCGGUGGAGUAACCUUUUAGGAGCUAGCCGUCGAAGGUGGGACAAAUGAUUGGGGUGAAGUCGUAACAAGGUAGCCGUAUCGGAAGGUGCGGCUGGAUCACCUCCUUUCUAAGGA
rnacentral:rRNA from 2 species